rnacentral:sRNA from 1 species
GUCAUGGAUCCUCUCUGGUAGUACAGAAUUAAAUGCUACUUUGGUCGGA